ACUAGUGACAGAGAGAGGGUGGGGUGACUAGUGACAGAGAGAGGGAGGGGGUGACUAGUGACAGAGUGAGGGAGGGAAGGGGUGACUAGUGACAGAGUGAGGGAGGUGGUGAUUAGUGACAGAGGGAAGGAUGGGGUGACUAGUGACAGUCACCACCUCCUUCACUCUGUCACUAGUCACCCACUCCCUCCCUUACUCUGUCACUAGUCACCCCCUCUCUCACUAUGUCACUAGUCACCCCCUCUAUCACUCUGUCACCAGUCAUUCCCUCACUCUGUCACCAGUCAUCCCUUCCUUCCCUCACUCUACCACUAGUCAUCCCUUCCCUCACUCUG